rnacentral:rRNA from 1 species
UACCCUACGGGAGGCAGCAGUGAGGAAUAUUGGUCAAUGGGCGGGAGCCUGAACCAGCCAAGUCGCGUGAGGGAAGACGGUCCUACGGAUUGUAAACCUCUUUUGUCGGGGAGCAAAGAGAUCACGUGUGGUCAAAAGCGAGAGUACCCGAAGAAAAAGCAUCGGCUAACUCCUUGCCAGCAGCCGCGGUAAUACGGAGGAUGCGAGCGUUAUCCGGAUUUAUUGGGUUUAAAGGGUGCGCAGGCGGAGGCACAAGUCAGCGGUAAAAUCGCGGGGCUCAACCCCGCUCCGCCGUUGAAACUGUG